rnacentral:tRNA from 1 species
GCCGUAGGGGAACCUGCGGCUGGAUCACCUCCUUUCUAAGGAUGAUCCUUCAGCGAGCUCACGCUCACUAUCGGAUCGUUUUAGAAACAUCAGUGGCCAACAGAUCGCCAGAUCGUUGAGCUGCAUUGGCGGGAUUUCGCCGUCUUCGUUUCUCUUUCUUCGCGGACGAACACGCGCUGGGCCUGCAACGGCAGGAUCCGGGGUCCUUAACGGGAUAUGCGUUAGGGGCUUGUAGCUCAGUUGGUUAGAGCGCGCGCUUGAUAAGCGUGAGGUCGGAAGUUCAAGUCUUCCCAGGCCCACCACUUUCAUCGAGUGAGCAUUCGUCUUCUGGUUACGGGGCCAUAGCUCAGCUGGGAGAGCGCGUGCUUUGCAAGCAUGAGGUCGUCGGUUCGAUCCCGUCUGGCUCCACCAGAUGGUUUGAUCGCCGAGGUCAUGCACCGUCGUCCGCGAAACAUCACUUCGCAUUCACUAGUCUGGAUAGACAGUGAACUGCGUGUUUUCUGACAUCGUAAAGAGGAGAUCGAUCCGAGUUGGGUCGUGCAGCAUAUCGUUGCGCGAGCCUUCAUUAUCUCCGGAUCAUUUUCGGCGCUCGCGUCCGACCGCAAGGUUGGCUGCGAGUUGUAAAAUGAUCCUUUUAGCGAAGCUUGACCGCCUCGCUAUCGGAACGAUCUUACGAAGCAAGCUGGUCUUUCUAGUCAAUGUCCGGCUGUACGUAGCAUUCAUCGAGGGUGCGCGCCGCAAGGCAAUCGUACAGACAACAUUCUGCCGAGUGUGUGGACAUUGAUAAUGAGAGCAAUCAAGUGCCUUAAGGGUGUUCGG